rnacentral:lncRNA from 1 species
AAGAAAAAGGUUGAUAGAUUUGGAUUUCGAAUAUACUGAGGACGUUGAAUAUUUUAAUAACUGACGUGUUAUUGAAGGUUAAAAAGGAAAAAAGAAAAAAAGUUAAGAAGAAAAAAAGGAGCGAUUUGGCUUCUGGAUGAACAAUAAAACGUCAUGUCCUUAGUAAAUUGACGUAAUAUUAAUACUCUGGUUACCAAUAACAUGUCAAACUUUCCUUUGUUUGACGUUCAUAUCUUAUUAUUAUGUCGAUGGGCUUUAUCAAACGACGUAUUAUUUGUGUUAAAAAAAAGAGAAAAAAAAGGAGCUAUGGUAUAUUGUGCAAUAACCAUCAUCCCAGAUUGAGUAUACUACAUGCAAUAUAAUCAUGUAACAUUAAAAUGGAAAUUUGCAAUAAAAAAAGUGAUUUUGUUAUACUUAAUCAAUUUAAACAAUUCAAUCACCAUUCAUUAAUGUUUGCCAAAAGAGAAUUUCAUUAAUAUUCAAAAGAUGAUUACAAAAUUAAAAUCAAAAGAUAGCGUAAGAAGCCACUUAUUACAAAAUUAAAAUCAAACAAUGAAAAUCCAUAUUCUUCUAUUGCAGAAUUAUUGUCGAUCCCUUCGUGGUUGUUCACAUCACCUUCCUUUCCAUCUUGAUCGGUGAUUUUUCAAUCCUUAGAGCCUUUUGUCAAUGAUUGUGCCAGCUUUCCAAUUACUUGAGUUUCAAGUAUCUUUUUGAUCGAUUCUGACAAUCUUUCAAUUUACCUAAGCCCCAAGAAUCUUUUUAGCGAUUCUAACAUACAAUUUGUUGUCACUUCAUACCAUCUAGCCCACUCAUCUUCUUCAAUUUUAUUUUCAAACUUGUUUUGUUUGCACUCCAAGAUUCAGAGAUAGGAUAAACUUGCUGAUGAUCGUCAUUUUUUAUCAUGGUGAAUCGAAUAAAAAAAUCACCGAAAACACAAAUUACUCUUAUUAUGAAAAUGUGAUAAAAUAGAAAAACUCAUAUAUAGUAAUAUAUGGGAAGAUGGAAAUGUGUCUAAAUACUCUAUAUUAGUAUAAUAAGUAGCUAAAUUCGGGAUACGUCAGAGAUCAAUUU